AUUGUCGAAACCUGCACAGCAGAACGACCCGCGAACCGGUUACAACGUCCGGGGGGAGGGGUGUGGGUGCAAGCCCUCUCCUCCUCCACCCCCAAGUCGGGAUGCGCAUGGCUUCGCACCGUGCCCCGUGCCUAGUGUGCGGGGAGCGUUCGUGCCGGCGCUCUCGAUCUAACAAUAAUCCCCGGCGCAAGACGCGCCAAGGAACUCUAACGCAAGAGCAUGCCCUUGCUCUGCCCCGGUCUCGGGGCGUGUGGCGGGCGAUGUCAUCUCUGAAAUCUUAACGACUCUCGGCAACGGAUAUCUCGGCUCUCGCAUCGAUGAAGAACGUAGCGAAAUGCGAUACUUGGUGUGAAUUGCAGAAUCCCGUGAACCAUCGAGUCUUUGAACGCAAGUUGCGCCCAAAGCCAUUAGGCCGAGGGCACGUCUGCCUGGGCGUCACGUAUCACGUCCUCCCCCAAACCCUGCCCACGGUGCCCGUGGUGAGGUGUUUCGGGCGGAGCGGAUGUUGGCCUCCCGUGCGUCACGCCGCGGUUGGCUUAAAAGCGAGCCCCGGGCGACGGAACGUCACGACAAGUGGUGGUUGUAAGGCCCCGGCCUCAGCGGUAUCGUGUCGUGCGUUGCCCCGUCGCUCGUCGGAGCCAACGGGACCCUGACGCGUCUUCCCGACGACGCUUCCAUCGCGACCCCAGGUCAGGCGGGACUACCCGC
rnacentral:rRNA from 2 species